UCCGGGUUGGACCCGGCGGUCCCGCCAGACAUGGUAACUGGCAGCGAGGGUUGCGCUCGUUGCGGGACUUAACCCAACAUCUCACGACACGAGCUGACGACAACCAUGCACCACCUGUCACUCUGUCCCCCGAAGGGGAACGUCCUAUCUCUAGGAUUGUCAGAGGAUGUCGAGACCUGGUAAGGUUCUUCGCGUUGCUUCGAAUUAAACCACAUGCUCCACCGCUUGUGCGGGUCCCCGUCAAUUCCUUUGAGUUUUAAUCUUGCGACCGUACUCCCCAGGCAGAGUGCUUCACGCGUUAGCUGCGGCACCGACACGCAAGCGUGCCGACGCCUAGCACUCAUCGUUUACGGCGUGGACUAC
rnacentral:misc_RNA from 1 species